AUUUAUUCUUCCUCGUUGUUCUUUCGCGGUGAGAUAAAAUGUUUUGUGACGUCACGGUUAUCCAGAGGCGAGAUAUAAAACCACGAGCGAAUCAAAUACUAUUUAUUAUACAGAUGAAGUUGUGGUGAUUUUAAAGUUUCCAGAAAUUUGUGUUUUUUAAGGAUUUUUUGACUACAAAAGCGUAAAAAUGAAAUACUCAUUAAUUUUUGUCGUAUUUCUUCUCAUCGCUACAUUAAAUACCUCCGCAAUCGGAGUUUACGAGUUAUUUUAUGGAAAUCGACGCUCUUUCGGGAGAAAUUAUCCAAGUGGAUACGGAUAUGGAAACAAUUACAAUCAAUUUGCAUCUUUAGAUUCAUCGAAAAGAAGAUAUAAAUCGAUUUGUCGCGUUCAUGCAAGUAAAGAUUUAGCAUUUCCCGGGCGAAUAGGCAACGCGGUUUGUCCUUAAUCAAUUUAUGUAGUAAUAAAAAUGUAUUAAAUAAUAAUAAAUAAGCGAAUAAAAUGUU